rnacentral:tRNA from 1 species
GGGCGGUUAGCUCAGUCGGUAGAGCGUCUCGUUUACACCGAGGUUGUCGGGGGUUCGAGUCCCUCACCGCCCA